CUAAGCAUAUCAAUAAGCGGAGGAAAAGAAACCAACAGGGAUUGCCCCAGUAACGGCGAGUGAAGCGGCAACAGCUCAAAUUUGAAAUCUGGCCUUCGGGUCCGAGUUGUAAUUUGUAGAGGAUGCUUUUGGCGAGGUGCCUUCCGAGUUCCCUGGAACGGGACGCCAUAGAGGGUGAGAGCCCCGUCUGGUCGGAUACCAAGCCUCUGUAAAGCUCCUUCGACGAGUCGAGUAGUUUGGGAAUGCUGCUCAAAAUGGGAGGUAUAUGUCUUCUAAAGCUAAAUAUUGGCCAGAGACCGAUAGCGCACAAGUAGAGUGAUCGAAAGAUGAAAAGCACUUUGAAAAGAGGGUUAAAAAGUACGUGAAAUUGUUGAAAGGGAAGCGCCUAUGACCAGACUUGGGCCCGGUGAAUCAUCCAGCGUUCUCGCUGGUGCACUUUGCCGGGCACAGGCCAGCAUCAGUUUGGCGCGGGGGAUAAAGGCUUUGGGAAUGUGGCUCCCUCGGGAGUGUUAUAACCCAUUGCGCAAUACCCUGCGCCGGACUGAGGUACGCGCAUCGCAAGGAUGCUGGCGUAAUGGUCAUCAGCGACCCGUCUUGAAACACGGACCAAGGAGUCGUCUUCGUAUGCGAGUGUUCGGGUGUCAAACCCCUACGCGUAAUGAAAGUGAACGCAGGUGAGAGCUUCGGCGCAUCAUCGACCGAUCCUGAUGUUCUCGGAUGGAUUUGAGUAAGAGCAUACGGGGCCGGACCCGAAAGAAGGUGAACUAUGCCUGUAUAGGGUGAAGCCAGAGGAAACUCUGGUGGAGGCUCGCAGCGGUUCUGACGUGCGAAUCGAUCGUCAAAUAUGGGCAUGGGGGCGAAAGACUAAUCGAACCUUCUAGUAGCUGGUUUCCGCCGA
rnacentral:rRNA from 1 species